GACGAACGCUGGCGGCGUGCUUAACACAUGCAAGUCGAACGAAGUGGCGAACGGGUGAGUAACGCGUAAUCAACCUGCCCUUCAGAGGGGGACAACAGGUGGAAACGACUGCUAAUACCGCAUACUGAAGGAGGGGAUUGCGUCUGAUUCGCUAGGUGGAGGGGUAACGGCCCACAAAGGGGAUGAUCAGUAGCCGGUCUGAGAGGAUGAACGGCGACAUUGGUACGGGAACACGGACCAGACCCCUACGGGUGGCAGCAGUGGGGAAUCUUCCGCAAUGGACGAAAGUCUGACGGAGCAACGCCGCGGGAGUGAUGACGGCCUUCGGGUUGUAAAACUCUGUUAAUCGGGACGCGGUACCGGAAUAGAAAGCCACGGCUAACUACGUGCCAGCAGCCGCGGUAAUAC
rnacentral:rRNA from 1 species